CAACAGGGAUUGCCCUAGUAACGGCGAGUGAAGCGGCAACAGCUCAAAUUUGAAAUCUGGCUCUCGGGCCCGAGUUGUAAUUUGUAGAGGAUACUUUUGAUGCGGUGCCUUCCGAGUUCCCUGGAACGGGACGCCAUAGAGGGUGAGAGCCCCGUCUGGUUGGAUGCCAAAUCUCUGUAAAGUUCCUUCGACGAGUCGAGUAGUUUGGGAAUGCUGCUCUAAAUGGGAGGUAUAUGUCUUCUAAAGCUAAAUACCGGCCAGAGACCGAUAGCGCACAAGUAGAGUGAUCGAAAGAUGAAAAGCACUUUGAAAAGAGAGUUAAAAAGUACGUGAAAUUGUUGAAAGGGAAGCGUUUAUGACCAGACUUGGGCUUGGUUAAUCAUCUGGGGUUCUCCCCAGUGCACUUUUCCAGUCCAGGCCAGCAUCAGUUUUCCCCGGGGGAUAAAGACUUCAGGAAUGUGGCUCUCUUCGGGGAGUGUUAUAGCCUGUUGUGUAAUACCCUGGGGGGGACUGAGGUUCGCGCAUCUGCAAGGAU
rnacentral:rRNA from 1 species